rnacentral:rRNA from 1 species
CGCAUCUGUGCAUGCAGCAUAUCAAUAAGCGGAGGAAAAGAAACUAACAAGGAUUCCCCUAGUAACGGCGAGUGAAGCGGGAAGAGCUCAAAUUUGAAAUCUUAAAGGGUUUCCCUUUACGAAUUGUAGUUUAAAGAAGUGUUUUCUGUUGAGGUUUUGGUAAAAGUUCUUUGGAAUAGGACAUCAUAGAGGGUGAGAAUCCCGUAUUUGACCUUUACUUUCAACUUUGUGAUACACUUUCAAAGAGUCGGAUUGUUUGGGAAUGCAGUCCAAAAUGGGUGGUAAAUUUCAUCUAAAGCUAAAUAUUGGCGAGAGACCGAUAGCGAACAAGUACCGUGAGGGAAAGAUGAAAAGAACUUUGAAAAGAGAGUUAAACAGUACGUGAAAUUGUCAAAAGGGAAGCGUUUGACACCAGUGUUGUUUUUCUGAAAAUCAAUUAAAGAACUGUUUAUGCUAAGUUGUUUAGACUUUAUCAGCUAACUGUUUAGUUUUGAGCUUUUCUUUAAUGCACUUUUCAGUUAACAAGUCAACAUCAAUUUCUUUUGCUGUAAAAAAGCUUGAGGAAGGUGGCUUGAGAUUCGUCUUAAGUGUUUAUAGCCUCUUGCCUAUGCAGUCGGAGAGAUUGAGGUCUGCAGCGUAGAUCCUUCGGGGCUAAAUGCAUUUGUGCUAAGUUAUAAGCAUUUUAUAGACAACUUGUUGACUAUGAUUUGUCUUGUAGCUUACUCGCUUAUGUUAUUUUACCUACGCUUAGGAUGUUGACAGCAGUAUAGACUGU